rnacentral:rRNA from 1 species
CCUAGUUGAUCCUGCCAGUAGUCAUAUUCUUAUCUCAAAGAUUAAGCCAUGCAUGUCUAAGUAUGAACUAAUUCAGAUUGUGAAAUUGCGGAUGGCUCAUUAAAUCAGUUAUAGUUUCUUUGAUGGUACCCUACUACUCGGAUAACCGUAGUAAUUCUAGAGCUAAUACGUGCACCAAGUCCCGACUCUUUGGAAGGGAUGCAUUUAUUAGAUAAAAGGUCGGUGCGGGCUUGCCCUCUUCUCCAGUGAAUCAUGAUAACUUGACGGAUCGCACAGCCCUUGUGCUGGCGAUGCUUCAUUCAAAUUACUUCCCUAUCAACUUUCAAUGGUAGGAUAGAGGCCUACCAUGGUGGUGAUGGGUGAUAGAGAAUUAGGGUUCAAUUCUGGAGAGGGAGCCUAAGAAAUGGCUACCACAUCCAAGGAAGGUAGCAGGUGCACAAAUUACCCAAUCCUGACAUGGGGAGGUAGUGACAAUAAAUAACAAUACUGGGCUCAUCAAGUCUGGUAAUUGGAAUGAGUACAAUCUAAAUCCCUUAACGAGCAUCCAUUGGAGGGAAAGUCUGGUGCUAGCAGCCAUGGUAAUUCCAGCUCCAAUAGCAUAUAUUUAUGUUGUUUUAGUUAAAAAUAUCAUAUUUGGAUCUUGGGUCGUAAAGUUCGAUCCACCUACUCAGUGUGCACCUUCCCUUCCAUCCCUUUUGCCGGCAGCGUGCUCCUGGCCUUAAUUGGCUGGGUCGCGAUUCUGGCAUUUUUACUUUGAAAAAAUUAGAGUGUUCAAAGAAAUCUUAUGCUCUGAAUACAUGAGCAUGGAAUAAUGUGAUAGGAGUCUGGUCCUAUUGUGUUGGUCUUCGGGACCAGGGUAAUGAUUAAUAGGGACUAUCGGGGGCAUUUGUAUUUCAUUGUCAGAUGUGAAAUUAUUAGAUUUAUGAAAGACGAACCACUGCGAAAGCAUUUGCCAAGGAUGUUUUCAUUAAUCAAGAAUGAAAGUUGGGGGCUCGAAGACGAUCAGAUACCAUCCUAGUCUCAACCAUAAACGAUGCUGACCAGGGAUCGGAGGAUGUUGCUCUAAGGACUUCUCCAGCACCUUCUGAGAAAUCAGAGUGUUUGGGUUUCGGGGAGAGUAGGGUUGCAAGGAUGAAACUUAAAGGAAUUGAUAGAAGGGAACCACUAGGAGUGGAGCCUAUGGCUUAAUUUGACUCAACACAGGAAAACUUACCAGGUCCAGACAUAGUAAGGAUUGACAGAUUGAGAGCUCUUUCUUGAUUCUAUGGGUGGUGGUGCAUGGCCAUUCUUAGUUGGUGGAGUGAUUUGUCUAGUUAAUUCCGAUAAUGAACAAGACCUCAGCCUGCUAACUAGCUACGUGGAGGUUCCCCUUUACGACCAACUUCUUAGAGGGACUAUGGUCAUUUAGGCCAUGGAAGUUUGAGGCAAUAAUAGGUCUGUAAUUCCCUUAGAUGUUUUGGGCCGCACGUGCGCUACAUUGAUGUAGUCAACGAUUUUUUCUCUCUGGUUCGAGAGGAUCGAGAAAUCUUCUCAAAUUGCAUCAUGAUGGGGAUAUACCAUUGUAAUUAAUGGUCUUCAACGAGGAAUUCCUAGUAAGUGUGUGUCAUCAUCUUGUUUUGACUACGGCCCUGCCCUUUGUACACACCACCCAUCGCUCCUACCGAUUGAAUGAUCCAGUGAAGUGUUUGGAUCGCAUCAACAAGGGUGGUUCGCCACUGACGAUGUCGUGAGAAGUUCAUUGAACCUUAUCAUUUAGAGGAAGGAGAAUUUGUAACAAGGUUACCAUAGGUGAACUUUCAGUAG